AUUUACGUAUAUAUUUUAGUCAUAUUAAGAAAUUGCUUUGGCUGUUAGUUAUCGUGCAAUUUCUUUAGUAUUAAAUAUGUUAAAGUUAAUUUUGUCACCCUUAUUUUGAUUUAUCAAAUGAUCGCAUUUAUAUUAAUUUUAAUAAUGAUAGUUUGCAUCAUUUGGGUUCUGAUAAUAAUAUGCCUGCUAUGUUUUCCUUUUCUAGCGAAGAACAAGACUCUUGUUUUAGAAUGAAACAUAAUUAACUUUUGGUUUCAUUUGUUCACUUUUAAUUUCUCGUGUUUUGCUUAAUUUAAUCAAGUUUGUUGCCCUUGAAAUUUCGGGCAAGAACUACAUGACAUGGGUGUUGGAUGCUGAAAUCCAUUUGGAUGCAAUGGGUCUUGCAGACGCCAUUAAAGACAGAAUAAUGCAUCCACCCAAGACCAUGCUAAGGCCUUGAUUUUCUUGCGCCAUCACCUUGAUGAAGGUUUGAAACUGUGCUAAGGCCUUGAUUUUCUUGAGCCANNNNNNNNNNNCAUUAAAGACAGAAAUAAUGCAUCCACCCAAGACUGUGCUAAGGCCUUGAUUUUCUUGCGCCAUCACCUUGAUGAAGGUUUGAAAAAUUGAAUAUCUCACGGUCAAAGAUCCAAUUAUCUUGUGGAAUGGCUUAAAGGAGAAAUAUGACAACCUAAAGUUAGUCACUCUGCCACAAGCACGAUAUGAUUGGGCUCAUCUGAGGCUCCAAGACUUUAUGAAAAAAUGUUUACAACGUUUCAUGUCUCCAAUAUGGUUCUGCAACAACAGUACAGAGAGGAAGGUUUCAAAAAGUACUCUGAGCUGAUUUCUCUUCUCCUUGUGGCUGAGCGAAAUAAUGACCUGCUCAUGAGAAAUCACGAAAAUCGACCCAUUUGGUCUACACCAUUGCCUGAAGCAGAUAAGGUGUAUUCCCAUUAUGCUAAGCAUGGAAAAGGCUAUGGCUUUAAUCGUGUUAGAAUUACUUUUGCAUGUGCUGUAUGUAUUCAUAAGGCAUCAUCAAAAUAAUAUAUGUAUGUCUGUUCGUAUUAGUAUAUAAAGUAAUAAAAAAAAUUUAAAUGUUUUGGUUUUUAAUUUAUCAUAUUUAAUAACAAAUGUAUUUAGUAUAGUAGCUCAGCGUGACAGCAAUUAAUCAAUGCAAUUCUGCUUUAAUUGUUCUAUAAUUAUAUUGAUACAUACAUCUGUUUGUUAUCUUAGGCAUUUUGUAUUACAAUUAUGUAUUGUCAAUGAACUAUUGUGUACAGCUUGUGUUAUUGUGGUAGCUGUUACCAUGAACCAAUGUAUUUGUUUGUUCUAGUUAGUGCUGUGAUCACAAUAAUAUGAUUCCAACUCCAG
rnacentral:lncRNA from 1 species